rnacentral:lncRNA from 1 species
UAAGGCCUCGCCGCUUCGCCGUCAGGCACGGCGGGGUCGGCUCGCCCCCGUCGCCGCCCACUUCGACACCACCCCAGGGCACCGCCCCACUUCCAUCGAUCUGGCAACAGCUUUGCUCUGCUGCAGCGACGUGCUGCCCCAAUAUCCCGUACAGCUCGGGUUCCGAGGCGGAGGCAGAGGGUGAGGAAGCGCAGGCGCUGGCGCUGCAGCUCGCGGACAAAUCGAGGGAACUGCCCGUGGCGCGGACGGCGGGCGGUCGGGCGGGCGGUCGGGCAACGAGAGCUAGGUAUGUCAUGUGAUUGCAUUUCUGACUUUUUCGUAGCUUAGGUGCCAACUCGCGUACCAUGGACAUGCUUGGAUGAUUUGGUAGAAGAAACAAGUACUGCAAUUUGAAUCCACAUCCUUGCAAUAGAGAUUGGGGAGUAAAAGGCGGAAUUCUUAGGCGGUAAUGUGUAAGCAGUCUUAGGGUUUGUGUGGACUUAAUGUGGAAGGGGACGCGUCAUGCUUGAAAACUCGUAUAUGUAGUAAACAAGCAGUAUUUGAAGCUGGAUAUGAUAAUUACUGAAUUGCAGUCUAUGUAUGAUCAAUGACGAUGCCAGUUAAGCAAAUUACCAACAUUAUCUAAGCAGAUGCAAAUUACCAACACAGUAGGCGUUUUCGUUUCACCGUCCAGAUAAGAGGCUUGUCUCUGACAUCCUGCCGGCAUGAUCAGACUGGAAGUUCCCCUCGUUGCUUAUCGCUGGAACUCCAGAAAUCGCUAACUGGAACAACCUUGGAACCGCAGGCAAGCACAGUUUGAGCCUUGAAACAACCUCAGUCAUGGUCGGCCUGUUGAUGGCUGCGUUUUCGACACAGUCCAUGGCAAGGUCUACCACACUCUGCAGAGAACUGGCAUCAUACUGAUCCAACAACCUCUUGUCCACAACUUCGUGAAUACUGCCUGUAGCAAUCUUUUGGCGCGUCCAGUUUGUUAGAUGGAUGGUUUGAGGGUACACCAGCACCGGGGGCUGGCCAGUGAUGAUCUCCAAGAGUACGAUACCAAAGCUGUAAACAUCUGCCUUGACAGUGAGCUGGAAAGUUGCAUGGUACUCGGGGUCAAGGUAGCCAAGAGUGCCAGCAGCAACAGUAGAUAUGUGUGUGCGAGCUUCAUUAAAGGCCCGUGAAAGCCCAAAAUCAGAUAUUAUCCUCACCAGGUUCUUGUCCAGAAGGAUGUUGGGGGUCUUCACAUCUCUAUGAACUAUUGAUGGGGUGCAUGACUUAUGUAAAUACUCCAGUCCUGUAGUUUAUUGGAACACAUACUUUGUCAACACACACAGAUAUACACGAAAUAAAUGUAAUAAACACAUAUUUGAAUGUGGACCUUGUGCAGCAUCAAGUGCAAUAUGAAGUCACUGUUCCCAAUUCAAACUAUGAUCAUCUCCUGCAUCAAAACAUACCAAAUUAAUGCAAGUACCGUUUGACACAUGCAUGGUAGAAUAAAUAUCAGUUUUUUGUAAUGCUUGAACAUAUUUAAGCUAACAGCUGAUAUGUUACACAUGCAACUAUUCACCAAUAACCAUACCAUCAAUUGGUGCAUUAAGAAUAAAAAACUCUGCAUAAUAGGCCCUUUGAUCUUUGAAAGGUCACUGCCUUUCCUUCUCAUUACCAGGGCACUUCUUUAUAUACAGAUUUAAUUAGCAAGAGAACUAAGCUAUUGAAGUAUUAAUUUAAGACGUGCCUCUUGCUAUGUUUCUUACUGGUUUUUGAAAGAUCUACACGUCUAUAAUUUGUGAUUAUCAUGUCAUGGUUAUUUCUCUGAGAGUGUAACUGUGGUCGCCCCAAUUUGUUAUCAGUCUAUGUGACUAGAACCUGCGGCUCUAAAAAUGCAGCUAUGGUCGUCUCACUUUUUAGUACGGUGUCUAUAACACAAUAAUUAGGCCCGCCAGCACCAACUCAACUGCAUUGACAAGUAGCAGCAAUAACAGUCUAGGAAAUCAACUACAACUUUAACCUGGAGAUUCAGUUUUAGCUCAGUAGGAUGUCAAAGCAUAUAGAUGGUCCCUAUAUAUAUGAAAUGUAGUAGGUGGUUAACCAAAGCUGUUGGCAUCUGAAUCGCUGUUUAGUUGGUUUUGCAGGAAAUAAAACUCUGACUUGGUUAACUUGCUUUUUAGACUGAACAAAUUUUAUUUUUGAUUCAAUGAUUCAAUUUUACUAAAUUAAAGUACAGAUGGUCCCUGUAAAAAUUGUAAUACAAGUUAGUGAUCGUAAGUUCAUAACAAAACUGCAAGUAGGUUGGCCAUACCUAUAUCAAGUAGUCAACUAUGCUGAAUAGAAACUUCUAAGAAAAGUUAAGAGAAAAACCUCCUCUUAAAAGUUGUUGGAGAUUUCCUCUGGGCAUGAAAUCAUAAACGAGUACUAGGCAUUUCUUGUUUUGGCAAUAUCCUUCCAAAGUCACGAGAUUCUUGUGAUGGACUUUGGACAAUGUUUGCACCUGCGGCAACGGAUAUAAUUAGAAGCAUCCUAGAGCUGAAGCCAAUUACAUCAAUUUAUUGAAUAUGGAGUGUGGAAACUGUUUAGAUGGCUUGCAAACUUAUAGUUUACUUUCUAGUAAAGAACUCAAUGAUAUGGCUUGUUUUCGUAUUAUACCUCGGGGAGGAAGUCUGUUGACUUUGCUAUUGAUGUCUCCAUAAGCACCUUAACAGCUACUUCAUCACCAUUUUCCAGUAUGCCAUGGUAAACAAUACCGAAACCUCCUUUUCCAAUGAUUGAUUGGAAGUCCUUAGUCAUGAGCUUCAGCUCUGCAUAUGUGAACCGUCUGAUAUCAAUGUGUAGGGGAGUUUCCUCUUCAUAUGUAGCAUAGUCCUCAUGGUCCCCCGAGUUCCCUGCAAAGUCAGAAAGUAAAGGUUUGAAGCUAUUGUCUAAUAUCUAUUGCACACUGCCUUGAUGAAAAGGGAAUUUAGGGGAGGAGUGUUUGCUUACCUUUAUGGCAUAAUUUCCAGAGUAUGCACAUCACUACUAGGAGGGAUACCAAUACCACUGGAACUAUCACUGCGAUGAGCACGGCAGGUGUGGUGUGCUUCUUCUUAUUUGAACAGUACAUAUCUUUUACUUUUGAGCAUAUGGGAUUGCCUUCUAGUCUAGUGACACAACUGUACAACAUAUAAAAGUAUAAUUAAGUUAUCUCAAAAUCUGCUACAAUAGCUCUAUGCAGUUAUGAUUAUAACGCGCCUCCAUUUUCUAACACAACUAACCUUCUGAUAGUACUUCUAAACAGAACUAACCUCUAAAAGAACAAACUGCAUGGUUUCUAGAUCACUAUUACUGGUACAUUCGUAUCUGGCUCUCGUAUCGAAAGCCCAUAGGUGAUAAAGCAUUUGUAGUUAUUAGAUGCUAGUAAAUGUAACUGAUGGUAUGAUUGGAUCAAUACAAUGAUCUCCAGAAUGUGGCUUGCCACACUUUGUGGUGCCCGAAUCGGCCACCACAACGUAGUCAAAAGCUCAAAAUUGGUUGGAGUUUAUGUGUAUGACAAAGUGGGGCAUGACAUUAAGCUAGAGAAAGUCGAACUUGCCUAACUCUAGCUUGGCAAAGUAUGUUAUGAACCAAACACGCAUUUAGCUUCUCAACUGUUUUUAACCAAUGCACUUGCAUUAAUACGUUGUAUGUGCAAAGACUGUUGCUAAACCUUAAAUUGGUAUGCAUCAUUAAUCUAUAAAACCAACCUUGGGUUGAGCAAUUUCAUUUUGAUGCAGUUGUUCAGCUUGUUACAACAGAUCAUAUCGAGUAAGCAGUCGUGCAACAGAGCAUACCAAACCUUAAGUCUAGCAGACCGGCCUGGAAUCUUCGAAGAAUAUAACUGGGGAUUGGUCCCUCGAGCUUGUUAUUUGCCAAAUUACUGAAAAAUAGUAGCUGGAAUCAUUCAUGUAAAAUUUAUGUCAUUAAUCAAAUACUGCUCAGCACAGGGACUUACAGAACUGCUAGUGACUUUAUUUGACAGUCUGGAAUGGUGCCCACCAGAUUGUUAUAUAAUUUGUUACUAGGGUCACAAAAGAUGCCAACAUGAUUUCAUUUGGCGCAUCAAUAUUAUGUCAUAGGUAUCACAU